UACGGAGGAUCCGAGCGUUAUCCGGAUUUAUUGGGUUUAAAGGGUGCGUAGGCGGUUUGAUAAGUUAGAGGUGAAAUGUCGGGGCUCAACCCCGAAACUGCCUCUAAUACUGUUGGACUAGAGAAUAGUUGCGGUAUGCGGAAUGCGUGGUGUAGCGGUGAAAUGCAUAGAUAUCACGCAGAACUCCGAUUGCGAAGGCAGCAUACCGGCGCCCUACUGACGCUGAGGCACGAAAGCGUGGGUAUCGAACAGG
rnacentral:rRNA from 1 species